rnacentral:rRNA from 1 species
UAGUGANUAAACUGUUGCCCUCUGUGCUGGCUCUGCAAGUGCACGUCGGUGACUUUCAUUCCAAUACCCUUGUGAACCUUUGGCCUCUUGCUAGCUUCGGCUGGCAGAGGAUUCUACAUACAAACUCGCAUGUAAUGAAACUCUUGUUGUGCACAAGCACUACUAUACAACUUUCAACAACGGAUCUCUUGGCUCUCGCAUCGAUGAAGAACGCAGCGAAAUGCGAUAAGUAAUGUGAAUUGCAGAAUUCAGUGAAUCAUCGAAUCUUUGAACGCACCUUGCACCCUUUGGCAUUCUGAAGGGUAUGCUCGUUUGAGUGUCAUUGUACUCUCACACUUCCGAUCUUGCAUUGGGAGCGGUGGACUUGGGUUUGCUGCCUUACCGUAGCUUACCUCAAAUGUGUUAGUGCAACUCUUGGUUGGACAUAGUACGGCGUGAUAAGUAUCUUCGCCGGUGCCUCGCAAUUGCGAGGGUGGCCGAUCGGGAUGUUGUGCUCCAAACCGUCUUCGGACAAUCUCUGACAACUUGACCUCAAAUCGAGUAAGACUACCCGCUGAAC